CGCAAAGUGGGUAGCGAAAAAAAACAAAUGUGCUUCUUUUCUAAAUUGUAGAUUUGUUUUUGCAAUGCCACAACAAAUUACAGGGAUUCAAACUCAUGAGGGGUGAAAAAGCUGUUUCUUAAAGGGUUUGUUGGGGUCCAGCCACCUCUGAAAUGACAGCAAUAAACUAAAACACACACACACUGGUUUACCGGAGAGCUGGAGGUGUCCUCAUUGAUCUGCAGGCUGAAGUACUGUUUCUCCACUAUGUUUAAGUGUUCAAAAGCCAAGUCAAACAACAGAUGACCAGCAUCAUGUUUCUGCAAAUCAAUAGUACAUGCUGUCCCAUGAAUUGUGUGAGUUUUGUUUUUUUUAGAUAUCACGCUGUCAAAACAUUUUUAAUUCAUUUUCUUACACAGCAUUUAUGAACAGUUUUUCAGUAAACUCAGAAUGUUUUAAAAUAAGGUACAUUAACUGAGAAGAAAAAUUACAUAAGUCUUGUUUUCAGGUUCAAUCUAACAAAAUUUGACAAUUAAUACAAAUUUACUUAAAGGUAUAGUUCAUCCAAAAAUAAAAAUUAUUUAAUCAUUUACUCACCCUCAUGCCAUCAUAGAUUUUAGAAGAAUAUCUUAGCUCUGUAUGUCCAUACAAUGCAAGUGAGUGAUGGCCAGAACUUUGAAGGUCCAAAAAGCACAUAAAGGCAGCACAAAAUGUAUCCAUAAAACUCUAGUGGUUUAUCAAUGUCUUCUGAUGCAAUCCAAUUAGUUUUGGGUGAGAUGUAACACAUUUUCGAUUACACUUCCUAGUGCUUGAAGCAUGCACAGAGCGCUAGAUGGUGCUAUAGGAAGUAUAAUCAUGUAAAGUCAUGUGUCAUGGCAUCCGCUCAUGUUAUUUCUUCCUGCAUUGCAUGUCACAUGUUUAAACUAGCCUCUUCCGUCAGCAGUGAGGGAUUCACAUGUGAUAAAUGUAAGGAAUUAGUCAGGCUGACGGAGAAGGUUAAUGAGUUAGAGACACGCAUCCGAACGCUAGUGGAGGUCAGUGAGAAAGAGAAGCCAGUAGAUACUGUUUUGGAUGUGAGUAGUACAGAGAGCAACACACACACUUUGGUUCCGGCUGUAGAGCCCCCGCAGCACUGCAUUUGGGUGACGUCUUGGUGGCAUACUCGCUCAGCAAAGAGACACCACUCUCCCGUUCCUGUUAGGGUUUCCAAUCAAUUUUCCCCACUCAGUGAUGCACCCACUGAGAAUCAUGUUGAAAGAGCCCUUGUUAUUGGCAAUUCUAUUGUAAGGAACGUGGAAAUAGAGACUCCAGCCACUAUUGUUAAUUGCAUUUCGGGUGCCAGCGCAUCUGACAUCAAAUCAAAUUUACAAGUGCUGGCUAAUGCUAAACAUAGAUUUUCUAAAAUUUUUAUUCAUGUAGGCACUAAAGAUGUCCAGCUUUGCCAGUCGGAGAUCACUCAAGAUAAUGUUAAAGCGGUGUGUGAAUUUGCAAAAACUAUGUCAGACACUGUAAUAUACUCCCUCCUUGCUCGUUGUGGUGACGAGGUUUAUAGUAGAUUAGUGUCACUGAACGGCUGGAUGUCUGAAUGGUGUCUGGAGAAAUGAAUAGGAUUCAUAGACAAUUGGAAGAGCUUUUGGGGUAGACCUGACUUGCUAAAGAGAGACGGACUCCAUCCCUCCAUGGAAGGUGCCGCUUUCCUCUCUAGUAAUUUGGCUCAUAGUCUUAAUAAUUAUAGUAUUUGACUAACUGGGGCCCAGGUCAGGAAGCAGACAAAUUGGUUAAUCCGAACAUCUGCUAGCUGCCUUGAGAUGUCACACAGGUCACAUAAACUACAACACAAAGAGACUGUAUCACCUAGAUAUCUCAUAGAGACUGUGUCUGUUCCCCAAACUAUCAAACACAAACCCAUCACUAAAUCAUUUAGAAAAAAUGUGAUUACGAUAAAACUUAUUACGAUAAAACAAAUUAAUGACAUACAUCAUAUGAAGAUAGGGCUACUAAACAUUAGAUCUCUUUUUACCAAAGCACUAAUUGUAAAUUAAAUUAUUACAGAUCAUAGUUUUUAUGCACUCUGUUUGACUGAAACCUGGCUUAAACCAGAUGAAUAUAUUAGUUUAAAUGAAUCUACUACCCCAGGUUAUUGUUAUAAACAUGAGCCUCGUCUGAAGGGUCGAGGAGGUGUUGCUACAAUAUACAGUGAAGUGUUUGGUGUUACUCAGAGGACAGGAUAUAAAUGUAAGUCUUUUGAACUAAUAAUGCUUAAUGUGACACCGUCAGAUAUAAAUAAAAAAAUUAUGUAGUCUUUUAACCUUGCUACAGUAUAUAGAUCACCUGGGCCAUAUUCUGAUUUCCUUGGUGAAUUUGCAAACUUUUUAUCAGAUCUUGUAGUUACUGUAGAUAGAGCUUUAAUUGUUGGUGACUUCAACAUUCACAUAGAUAAUGAAAAUGACAGAUUGGCAUUAGCAUUUAUCGAUAUUCUGAACUCUCUUGGAGUCAGACAAAAUGUAACGGGACCAACUCAUCGCCAUAAUCAUACACUAGAUUUAAUUCUGUCAUAUGGAGUUGAUGCUGAUAAUAUAGAAAUUCUGCAGCAGAGCGAUGACUUCUCGGAUCAUCACCUCGUGUGUUGUAUACUGUGAUCAGCUAAUGUUACUCAAUCUACACCAUGCUAUCAUUCAGGUAGGACUAUUCAUUCAAUCACUAAAGAUAGCUUCACUAAUAAUCUUCCAGAUCUAUCUCAUACACUCAGUAAACUCCAAAGCCCAGAAGAACUUGAUGAAAUAACAAAAAAUAUAAAUGCAGUCUUCUCUAGCUCUCUUGAUAGUGUUGCCCCUCUUCAAUUAAAGAAAAUUCAAGAAAUAAACUCUGAACCAUGGUACAAUGAUCACACUCAUGUUCUCAAGAGAGCAGCUUGGAAAAUGGAGUGCAUGUGGAAGAAUAAAAAUUUAGAACUAUUUCGUGGUGCAUGAAAGGAUAGUAUCUCAUAGAAACUCAUAGAAAAUAACCACAACAAUCCUAGCUGUUUAUUCAGUACUGUGGCUAAAUUGGUUAGGAAUAAAGCCUCAACAGAACCAGAUAUUAUGUCGCAGCACAAGAGUAAUGACUUCAUGAAUUUCUUUACAGAUAAAAUUUAAAUAAUCAGAAAUAAAAUUGGAAUUAUCAGUCAUAGCACCUCAGAAAACAGUGUCUUUUUUCCUCACGUGCAACUGCAAUCCUUUGCUGUCAUAGGUCAUGAAGAGCUAACAAAACUUAUCGAAACAUCAAAAGCCACAACAUGUUUGUUAUAUCCAAUACCAACUAAGCUCUUAAAAGAGGUAUUUCCUGUAAUUUCAGAACCUCUUCUUAAUAUCAUUAACUCCUUGCAAUCCUUAGAAGAUGUCCCAAGAAACUGUAAACUGGCAGUUAUCAAACCGCUUAUUAAGAAGCCACAACUUGGUCCUGAGAACUGGCUAAUUAUAGACUGAAUUCAAAUCUCCUCUUUAUUUUAAAAAUACUAGAAAAGGUAGUAUCCUCCUAAAUAUAUUCAUUUCUACAGAUAAAUAGUAUAUACAAAGAAUUUCAGUCAGGAUUUAGGCCCCAUCACAGUACAGAGACAGCACUUAUCAGAGUUACAAAUGACUUGCUCUUAUCAUCUGAUCGCGGCUGCAUUUCUGUAAGGAUCUCCCUUUUGGGAUGUUAUUCUCCCAAUAGGGGGAGAAUGUUCCCCUCCCCUCCUGCAGAUGGCACUAACACCCCUAACCCAGUUCUACCAUCCACUCACUAACCCUCAUUCCCUUCACCUGUGCUUCGCCCUACAUAAGCCUGCUUCUUUUUCACCAAGGUGUUCAGUCUUGAGACUUUGUACCCUGUUCUUCCCGUGACCAGCCCUCAGCUAAGUUUCUUUCUAGUUGCAUUAUUGAUCCAUGUUUCUCUUUGUUUCUCAGUUUUGUGGAAGCUCGGCUUACCAAGUUUAUUUGUACUUUUUGACCCUCGUGUCAAUUUUGUUUUUCAGUUUUGUGGAAGCUCAGCUUUCCAAGUUUAUUUGUACUUUGCAAUUCUCUACAAUUAAAAGAUUAUAUAUACUUUUUGGAAGAAACACAAGUAUCCAAGACUCUUUACUUUUCUGUUUUUGGUUCAACUAUUGGGGAAUUAGCUCAGUGGUAGAACACCAUACACUUAAGCAUUGCAGACCUGGGUUCGAUUCCCACCUACGGCAGCCCUGCCACAGCUUCUCUUCUAGUGCUUUUAGAUCUUAGUGCUACAUUCGACAUGAUAGAUCACAACAUUCUUGAAUAGGCUAGAGCAUUAUGUUGGCAUUUGUGGAGUUGCAUUAGCAUGGUUUAGGUCCUAUUUAGCAGACAGCAACCACUUUGUCUAUGUAAAUGAGGAACUGUGAAACCAAACAAAAGUUAAGUAUUGAGUACCACAUGGAUCAGUUUUAGGGCCUCUGCUUUUCUCCUUGUAUAUGCUUCCCCUUGGAGAUAUUAUCAGGAAACGUGGAAUAAGUUUCCACUGUUAUGCCGACGAUACCCAACUUUACAUUUCUUCAAAACAUGAUGAGAUUUCAAAAUUCUCCAAAUUAGCAGAGUGUAUCAAUGAAAUAAAAGAUUGAAUGGCCAGACAUUUCCUUCUACUCAAUUACGACAAAACAGAGGUACUAAUUAUUGGACCAAAAAACUCAAAAAAUAAGCUGCUAAAAUAAAAUUAGACUCUCGAUGGAUAUACUGUUACAGCAUCUUCAACAGUGAAGAAUUAGGUGUUAUAUUUGAUACCAAUCUGUCCUUUGAAAAUCUAAUUACAAAUGUUUGUAGAAAAGCAUUCUUCCAGCUUAGAAAUAUUGCUAAAUUAUGGCACAUGCUCUCUGUUGAAUGAAUUAAUGCAUUCAUGACCUCAAGACUAGAUUAUUGUAAUGCAUUACUGGGAGGAUGUCCAGCAAGAUCAAUAAAUAAACUUUAAUUGGUUCAAAAUGCGACCAUAUUAGCCCCAUUUUAUCAUCGUUACAUUGGCUACCUGUUAAAUUUCGUAUUAAUUUUAAAAUUCUGUUAACUACAUAUAAAGCUUUGAAUGGUCUAGCUCCACAGUACUUAAAUAACCUUCUACCACGCUAUAUUCCACGUUCAUUAUGAUCGCAAAAUUCUGGCCUGUUAAUAGUUCCUAGAAUAUCAAAAUCCACAAAUGGAGGUAGAUCCUUUUCAUAUUUGGCUCCUAAACUAUGGAAUAGUCUCCCUAACGAUGUUUGAGAUGCAGACGCACUCCCUCAGUUUAAGUCUAGACUAAAGACUCACCUAUUUAGCCAGGCAUACACCUAAUUUAUCUUCAAACCCCCAAUUAGGCUGCUUUAGUUAGGUCUGCUGAGACCAGAAACCAGAAACAUUGAUCAUGAUCUAUAACUAUGUAAUAAAUUGAAUGGCAUCUAUGCUAAUAUUAUCUUUAUUUGUUUCCCUGCCUCAACCUCGGGAUUCCUAUCCUGAGGUCACCAGAACCAGCUGGAUCCAGCACCAUUCAUGUUUCGUGUUGGACUCCACUGCUACGUGUCACUGAAUGAUGAUGACUAAAUGCAGCCGGUGCCAGCCAAACAUCAUUUCAAUCUAUUAUGAUGGACUUCAGAGGAUAAACUGAUGCCAACUCCAACCAUAAGACAUGGGAUACUUCAUAUGCCAUUGUCUGAACCUUGGACUUAGGAUGGACCACACCGAAUCUCACCGAAAUUACCGGCCAGGUUUAACUGCGAUGCACCUCACUGAUCUCUGCCUGCAUCACCUCGGUCUACUGAUGGACUAUACUCUUGAAAUGCAAUACAUAGGACUAUCAAUUGCCAACAAAAGCCUCCAUCAGCCAAUUUACAAGGACAAUUGCAUUUAUGUGAACUUCUGCAGUUAAUACAGGAUGGACUUCAAAGACAUUAGUCAUUAAUCUUACAGUCCCUUAACACUUACUUAGUUUAAUAAUUUUAAACCAUGACUUGCACUAUACAUAAGUAUAUUAUAUUAUAUUCAUGAUGUUAGCCUGAGGGGAACUGGUCCCCACAGUGAGUCUGGUUUCUCCCAAGGUUAUUUUUCUCCCAUUAACCAACAUCUUAUGGAGUUUUGUGUUCCUUGCCACAGUCACCUUCGGCUUGCUCACUGGGGUAAUAAAUACAAUUAAUAUAUAAUUUUUAUAAAUAUAUAAUUAUUUUAUAAACACAAUUCACAAUCGUAUUUUAUCUAAUUACACAAUGAUAUUAUAGUUUUAUCUUCGGUUAAUGCCUGACCUUCUGUAAAGCUGCUUUGAAAUGUUGUGUGUUGUGAAAGGUGCUAUACAAAUAAAAUUGUCUUA